AUGUGCCCUCUGGUCGCUACUUUUGGGGUCCCGAAGUAGGAGGCUCUUGGCCACCUGCCUGUUGAGGAAAGCGUCGUCCCUGCCGCGUGUUUCUUCUCUCAGAGCGUUUCGUGGGCAUAAAGGGAACACUGGCCCAGAGAGGCAGGGGACUGGAAACAAUUCGCCGCCUCCUAGCCCCGCGCACUUGGCAGGAGCUUCGAGCAAAGCGCUAUAGAAGCUCUUAAAGGAGAUAGAGGGGGUGGCCUCACAGAGGAGGUGGCAGUACUUCUAGAGCAGGCAGGGUGUGAGGAGGUGUGUUCCUGGUGGUCUUUGCCUGGAAGGCAUUGUCAGAAAUGGAGGCUCCAUGGCGAUUAAAUUGAAGCCCUCAGUACCCUGGAUUGGGAUCCUUGACUCUAGUAAUAAUGUGCAUAUCUGAGACCCCUUGUGUCUCUAACUGUUUGAGGUGCCAUCCUGCCCAUGGCUGGGAGCUGGUAAAGAAACUGCCUGCAAUGUGGGAGACCUGUGUUUGAUCCCUGGAUUGGG